UGUUCUGGUCAUCAGAACCAAUGCUGAAGUAAGUGAUGCUAAAUGCGUAAAAGUUGACUUGAUCUUCAAUGAGCUUGCUCACAUUCAUGUUUGCCAGCCUGGAUUACCUCCCUGCCUUGGGCAUAACCUUUUUGAGGACAUUUUUACCUCAGAUUUGACAUUGUUCAUUAAUCACCUCAUAACAAAAGAAAAACCAUUCUCUUACCUUGAACUGACAAACCUUGCGAGGUAACCCCAGGUGCUGGAAAACUAUGGACAUGCGGUACAGAACUGGUGUUUUCUCAGGAUGCUCCCAGUGUUGAUUGGAGACAAAAUAAACAAAGCAUCAGAUGCUGAAGUGUGGCAGCUAAUUUUACAGCUUAGAGACAUUGUCAGUCUUGUUUGUGCGCCGAUGAUUACUGCUGGGCAGAUCAAAUAUCUCCGUGUUCUGAUAGAGGAGUAUUUGCAAAUUAGGAAGCAAAGUUUUCCAGAUCAUCCAUUGAAACCCAAACAUCACUAUCUGUGUCAUUAUUCAGACCUCAUUGUUAAGUUUGGGCCGUGGAUUCAUCUUUGGACACUAAGGUUUAAAAGUAAGCACACUUACUUCAAACAGUGAGCAAGAAAGUUGCACAACUUCAAGAAUAUUUGCCAAAGUCUGGCAGAAAGACAUCAGCUUUUGCAAGCUUUUCUGAGUGCUGGGAGUCUCUUUCGACCUGAUAUCGCAGUGGACAAAGGCACUGAGUUUUUUGCAAGUGAUUUCAAUGACAGUAUACAAAAGUCAGUUGCACAUUUAGACACUGAUCCAUCGAACACUUUAAUUGCCAAUGAUGUGACACUAAAAGGUGACACAAAGUAUAAGAGCAACAUGUAUGUUGUAAUAGGUCAUAAUGAUGAUGGCUUAUUAGUGGGAAAAAUAAAGAAAUUAUUGUUUAUAAAUACUCAGUAGUUUACUUCAUCUGUGAGAAACACCAAGCUAUUCGGCUUCCUUCCACUGAUUCUUAUCAUGCAAGCCCCGUAUCAAGAUCCUACUGCUGUGUCAAAGCAGAAGAACUGCUUGAUAUUUACCCACUGCCAGAAUAUAUAGUUUGGGCUGUGUCUCUUUUAAUACUCCACCAUUCUGUUCCUGUGUUUUAGACAAAUGUCAUCAUUAAGUAAAACAAUAAAGGGGAUAAUCCCCAAGGCUUUAGAUGUUGCUGACAAAACCAUGUCAGAUGUUUUACUUUUAAAUAACCUUUUUUAUGAUUUCAGAAACAAACACAGUCACACUAGACUUGGAGAUUAUUUCCAGUCCCUCAACUGCAUCCCCUAUUUCCAGUCCUUCAAGUGCUUCCAUAUACUCACUUUCUAGCAUACCACCAAUUUCACCACAACCUUCAGUACUGCAAACACCUCUUGUGUUAUACCGGAAUGAAAAGCAAAAGGUAUCCCAGGCUUGGCCUGCCACUGGAUAUUCAAACAGCAAUUUCAGAAGGCAAAAGACCCCCUCCUGACAAGAGGCGGCAAAUGAUAAAAAUCCUUGCAGAUGAAAUGCAGAAGUACAAGGCUAAUCCCAUACGUUCACAAUGCCUUACAGUCUGCCAGAAGAUAACCAAUCAAUACCCAGAUAGCUUUGCUGAUAUGACACCAAGUGGAAAGCUCAUUGCUGAAGGGUAUAGUUCCCUGUUCUCUCAACUCAAAUCACGAAAUGAGAAUAUCAACCAUUCCGGGACCUUUCAUAGGUACAGAUCACCAGGACCCUGUGGCAUAGCUGGAGUCAAACGGGGAUCAGCUGACAUGUAUAGGUGUACUAGGUUCCGGCCAGAACUCUCUCCAGAGGAAACUGAUGACACAGUGGAGGAGAAACGUCAGAGACUACAGAGCACUUUCAGCAAGUAUGGCAUUAAUGGAGAUGAUAUGCCAGAAGUGACAGAUUUGAUGGAGACCAUAUUUAGCUUUCAGCGUAGGCAUAUAAAGAGGAUCCCUGCUCCCUUCAUUGCUGAUCUUCAAAUCAACUGGCCUUACCUAUUUACACAAAGGGGAAUCUUUUCUCACUUUGAGUUGCUGACUGAUGUUCCUGUCCUCUGUGCACUGGAACUGUCAGUUGAGGAAUGUGGUAAUAAACUAAAGUAAAGAUUUUCAGUGUCCAGACAAGCUUGGAUUAUAAGGCAAUUGGCAACUUAACAUUGCUUCUCAUCCAACUAUCGAUGGCCCAUUUCAACGAGUCACCCAUUGGGCUGAUACUGAGUACUGAUGUAAGAUCACUGCAAAGAAAUAUUACAAGUUUUAUCCAGUUUUGCAUAUGCAUACUGUUUUUCUAAUAUGCACUUGUCCAUGGUAUACAGGAGUAUGCAAUAGUAGCCAAUGUUGAAACCAGCCUAAAUUUGCCAGCCAGCCAUCGUCUGACAAUGCUGGCUGGAUGGAUGAUCAGCGUUGAAGGCCAUGUCAUCUUUGAGGGGUCCCAGUCAACAUUUGUGACAGGAUUUGCAGCAGUGUUGGCCACUUUCUACAUAUUUAACCUCCAAUAUCAAGAUGAGGUGGCUAAGACUUUGGAGUUCAGUCAACGGGGCACAAAGACCAGCCAUGGCAAGAUGGUGUCCAAAAAAACAGGCAAGAUAAUCCAAAAGAAACUGCGGACAGUGAAUGCAGAUGUUUCUACCCUGAUCACAAACCUGAUGGACUUUGAAUGGCA